rnacentral:rRNA from 1 species
UUGAACGCUGGCGGCAGGCCUAACACAUGCAAGUCGAGCGGCAGCGCGGGGCAACCUGGCGGCGAGCGGCGAACGGGUGAGUAACGCGUAGGAAUCUACCCAGUAGCGGGGGAUAGCCCGGGGAAACUCGGAUUAAUACCGCAUACGCCCUAAGGGGGAAAGCAGGGGAUCUUCGGACCUUGCACUAUUGGAAGAGCCUGCGUUGGAUUAGCUAGUUGGUAGGGUAAAGGCCUACCAAGGCGACGAUCCAUAACUGGUCUGAGAGGAUGAUCAGUCACACCGGAACUGAGACACGGUCCGGACUCCUACGGGAGGCAGCAGUGGGGAAUAUUGGACAAUGGGGGCAACCCUGAUCCAGCCAUGCCGCGUGUGUGAAGAAGGCCUUCGGGUUGUAAAGCACUUUAAGUGGGGAGAAAGGCUCCAAAGUUAAUACCUUUGGGGAUUGAUGCUACCCACAGAAUAAGCACCGGCUAACUCUGUGCCAGCCGCCGCCGUAA